AUCUUCCCCUGGCAGCUGAAAUUUUUAUCUGAGCAUUCAAUUGCUUGUACAUACAACCAGUUUUAAUAAUCUGAAGGGGCUCAGAAAAUGGGAUAUUUUUUUCAGAAUGUGGAUACUUAAAACCUUUAGUCCAGAGAGAUUUGUCAAUUUAAUAAGAAAGUCUUCACAUAGAUCAAAACAUACAUUAGCCAAUAAGUCAAUAUCAUGAGAUUACAUAAAAACUUUGAUACAAUGGAUGGCAAAAGAUAUUAUAGAGUUACUUCCCUUGGCAUGUUACAUUGGAGUUACUUCCCUUGACAUGUUACAUUGUUUGUAUGCCUGACUUGAAUUGAUAAUUGUAUUUAAUUAGUUAAGUUAUAAACAAACUACUUUAUUGUUAUUGGAAUAAAUUUAACUAUUGG
rnacentral:lncRNA from 1 species